rnacentral:rRNA from 1 species
AGUGAACGCUGGCGGUAGGCCUAACACAUGCAAGUCGAACGGCAGCACAGUAAGAGCUUGCUCUUACGGGUGGCGAGUGGCGGACGGGUGAGGAAUACAUCGGAAUCUACUUUUUCGUGGGGGAUAACGUAGGGAAACUUACGCUAAUACCGCAUACGACCUACGGGUGAAAGCAGGGGCUCUUCGGACCUUGCGCGAUUGAAUGAGCCGAUGUCGGAUUAGCUAGUUGGCGGGGUAAAGGCCCACCAAGGCGACGAUCCGUAGCUGGUCUGAGAGGAUGAUAAGCCACACUGGAACGGGGACACGGUCCAGACUCCUACGGGAGGCAGCAGUGGGGAAUAGUGGACAAUGGGCGCAAGCCUGAUCCAGCCAUACCGCGUGGGUGAAGAAGGCCUUCGGGGUGUAAAGCCCUUUUGUGGGGAAAGGAAAGCAGCAGGUUAAUACCCCGCUGUUCUGACGGUACCCAAAGAAUAAGCACCGGCUAACUUCGUG